AUUGAACGCUGGCGGCAGGCUUAACACAUGCAAGUCGAGCGAGCGGCGGACGGGUUAGUACUGUCUGGGAAACUGCCUGAUGGAUGGGGAUAACUACUGGAAACGGUAGCUAAUACCGCAUACCAUCGGAUGUGCCCCGAUGGGAUUAGCUAGUAGGUGGGGUAAUGGCUCACCUAGGCGACGAUCCCUAGCUGGUCUGCUAGGAUGACCAGCAAGACUGGAACUGAGACACGGUCCAGACUCCUAAGGGAGGCAGCAGUGGGGAAUAUUGCACAAUGGGCGAAAGCCUGAUGCAGACACGCCGCGUGUGUGAAGAAGGCCGUCGGGUUGUAAAGCAAUUGCAGCGAGGAGGCGUUACUCGCAGAAGAAGCACCGGCUAACUCCGUGCCAGCAGCCGCGGUAAUUC
rnacentral:rRNA from 1 species